rnacentral:rRNA from 1 species
AGAGUUUGAUCCUGGCUCAGAACGAACGCUGGCGGCAUGCCUAACACAUGCAAGUCGAACGAGACCUUCGGGUCUAGUGGCGCACGGGUGCGUAACGCGUGGGAAUCUGCCCUCAGGUACGGAAUAACUCAGGGAAACUUGAGCUAAUACCGUAUAAUGACUUCGGUCCAAAGAUUUAUCGCCUGAGGAUGAGCCCGCGUCGGAUUAGCUAGUUGGUGAGGUAAAAGCUCACCAAGGCGACGAUCCGUAGCUGGUCUGAGAGGAUGAUCAGCCACACUGGGACUGAGACACGGCCCAGACUCCUACGGGAGGCAGCAGUGGGGAAUAUUGGACAAUGGGCGAAAGCCUGAUCCAGCAAUGCCACGUGAGUGAUGAAGGCCUUAGGGUUGUAAAGCUCUUUUACCCGGGAUGAUAAUGACAGUACCGGGAGAAUAAGCCCCGGCUAACUCCGUGCCAGCCGCCGCGGUAAUAC